AGCGAACGCUGGCGGCAGGCCUAACACAUGCAAGUCGAACGAAGUCUUCGGACUUAGUGGCGGACGGGUGAGUAACACGUGGGAACGUACCUUUUGGUUCGGAACAACUCAGGGAAACUUGAGCUAAUACCGAAUGUGCCCUUAGGGGGAAAGAUUUAUCACCAUUAGAGCGGCCCGCGUUAGAUUAGCUAGUUGGUGGGGUAAAGGCCCACCAAGGCUACGAUCUAUAGCUGGUCUGAGAGGAUGAUCAGCCACACUGGGACUGAGACACGGCCCAGACUCCUACGGGAGGCAGCAGUGGGGAAUCUUGCGCAAUGGGCGAAAGCCUGACGCAGCCAUGCCGCGUGAAUGAUGAAGGUCUUAGGAUUGUAAAAUUCUUUCAGUAGGGACGAUAAUGACGGUACCUACAGAAGAAGCCCCGGCUAACUUCGUGCCAGCAGCCGCAGUAA
rnacentral:rRNA from 1 species